AAAUCAGAAACCCUAAUUCCCAAAUUGGAACCUAACCCUCAUUUUCCCCUUUCCUCAGAGGCUGAAACACGCAGCCUUCACCCCCUUUCUCUUUCACCCACUUAACGCACAACACACCCACACCAGCCACAGAGAGGAAGAGAGGGAGCUGCGCCACGUUACCGUCCAGUCGCUGUCCGGCUCGCCAUCACCGGUGUCUCACCGCUGUCACUAUGGAGACCAAACGCCGUUGAGCUUCUUGCUGCUGCCUUGGAGUCCGUCGUCGGGUUUGAGUUGAAGAAAGAGAGAGGCGUAGAUUCAACGUCGCGUAGAGAGGGAUUUGUUGUUGUCGUUGCGCGCCGUCGUGUGCUGUCGCUGUUGUUCGAGCCGUCGCCAUCGCCGUGGGUGAAGUUCGCCGCUGGCGCCAGUUGAGGCCGCUGCUAUGGAACAGAGAUGAGAGAGAGACGUUGGGAGGAAACUGUGAGCUGCAAGCCGCUGACCGAGAAGAAGUUCUGCCUUUGUUGCCGUGUUAGAGUCGUCGCUGCUAACACCGCGCACCGCCGUUAGCGCUGCCGUUGAAGGGAGCUCGCCGUCACAAUUCAAUCAUCAUUGAGCUUGAAGGGAGGCGUCACUGAUAUACCCGACAGCAGCUUCCCCUGCGUUCCCAAUUCCAUUCUUGAAACGUUAACACUCUUGCUCAUGCUCUGUUUCCUGAAUCUAUUCCUCUACCAUAUUUUGUUCUGAUUACAAUAGCAUAUGUUAAUGUCUCUGUUUAGUAUUAUCAUCUUUAUUCGGAACCACUGAUGUCACCGCUACGGAGGUGAUUGGGAUAGGCGCGAUUGUCAUUGUUGUUGUUGCCCCAGAAGAAGUGAAGUUGCUGCUGCUGUUCCGGCCGCAUUGGCUGUUGUAAACUGGAAAAAAGAAGGGCAUCAUUGCGUUUAAAUUCGACGGUUUCGACUAAUUGAGGAUAAUUUUUUUGGACUCGUAAAGACAAAAGGAGUUGACUAGUUGUUGUGGCACCUUGUAUAAGAUGGGAUGGGUCUUAUAAUGAGUUUGGUUAUCUAAAUGUAUUAUUUUGAUGUGUUCUUUAUUUUUUGAUAAGAGACUUUAUCCGAUAUUAUAUGUAAUGGAUAAAUUACACUCUAUUUUGAUUAGUGUUGUAAUGAAUAUCUAAUUUUUAAUGAAACUUUUAUGAUUUGGAUUUA